CCGAGAGAUGCAUCAUACAUGCAAGUCGAGACGAAUGACGAGGAGCUUGCUCCUCUGAUUUAGCAGGCGGACGGGAUUACACGUGGGUAUCUGCCUGUAAGACGGGGAUAACUCCGGGAAACCGGGGCUAAUACCGGAUAAUAAGAAGAAACGCAUGUUUCUUUUUUGAACAGUCGGUUUCGGCUGACACUUACAGAUGAGCCCGCGGCGCAUUAGCGAGUUGGUGAGGUAACGGCUCACCAAGGCGACGAUGCGUAGCCGACCUGAGAGGGUGAUCGGCCACACUGGGACUGAGACACGGCCCAGACUCCUACGGGAGGCAGCAGUAGGGAAUCUUCGGCAAUGGGCGAAAGCCUGACCGAGCAACGCCGCGCUGAACGAAGAAGGACUUCGGAGUCAUAAAGUUCUGUUGAUUAGGGAAGAACAAGUACCAGAGUAA
rnacentral:rRNA from 1 species